rnacentral:rRNA from 1 species
CGGCCACAUUGGGACUGAGACACGGCCCAGACUCCUACGGGAGGCAGCAGUGGGGAAUAUUGCACAAUGGGGGAAACCCUGAUGCAGCGACGCCGCGUGGAGGAAGAAGGUCUUCGGAUUGUAAACUCCUGUUGUUGAGGAAGAUAAUGACGGUACUCAACAAGGAAGUGACGGCUAACUACGUGCCAGCAGCCGCGGUAAAACGUAGGUCACAAGCGUUGUCCGGAAUUACUGGGUGUAAAGGGAGCGCAGGCGGGAAGACAAGUUGGAAGUGAAAUCCAUGGGCUCAACCCAUGAACUGCUUUCAAAACUGUUUUUCUUGAGUAGUGCAGAGGUAGGCGGAAUUCCCGGUGUAGCGGUGGAAUGCGUAGAUAUCGGGAGGAACACCAGUGGCGAAGGCGGCCUACUGGGCACCAACUGACGCUGAGGCUCGAAAGUGUGGGUAGCAAACAGGAUUAGAUACCCUGGUAGUCCACACCGUAAACGAUGAUUACUAGGUGUUGGAGGAUUGACCCCUUCAGUGCCGCAGUUAACACAAUAAGUAAUCCACCUGGGGAGUACGACCGCAAGGUUGAAACUCAAAGGAAUUGACGGGGGCCCGCACAAGCAGUGGAGUAUGUGGUUUAAUUCGACGCAACGCGAAGAACCUUACCAAGUCUUGACAUCCUGCGACGGACAUAGAAAUAUGUCUUUCCUUCGGGACGCAGAGACAGGUGGUGCAUGGUUGUCGUCAGCUCGUGUCGUGAGAUGUUGGGUUAAGUCCCGCAACGAGCGCAACCC